GUGCCCUUUUAAGGUUGACUCAGUGCUUUAAGAGGCUAACACAAAAGAGUAAAAAAAUCUCCAUAAAACCCAGAGAAGAGGGUUGGGGUUGUGUCUCAGUGGUAGAGUGCUUGCCUGGCAUGUGUGGGGCACUGAG
rnacentral:snoRNA from 1 species